rnacentral:tRNA from 1 species
UCCCCGGUGGUUAAGUGGUUAAGACUCCACAUUCCCAAUGCAAGGGGCCCAGGUUCAAUCCCUGGUCAGGGAA